rnacentral:sRNA from 1 species
GCUGGGUGUGGUGGCACAUGCCUGUAAUCCCAGCGGCUUAGGAGGCUGAGGUAGGAGGAUCAUGAGUUCAAAGCCAGCCCCUGCAACUUAUCGAGGCCUUAAGCAAUUCAGCAAGACCCUAUCUCUA